rnacentral:rRNA from 1 species
UACGAAGGGGGCUAGCGUUGCUCGGAAUUACUGGGCGUAAAGGGCGCGUAGGCGGCACUGUUAGUCAGGCGUGAAAUUCCUGGGCUCAACCCGGGGACUGCGCUUGAUACGGCAGAGCUAGAGGAUGGAAGAGGCUCGCGGAAUUCCCAGUGUAGAGGUGAAAUUCGUAGAUAUUGGGAAGAACACCGGUGGCGAAGGCGGCUUCCUGGUCUGCAACUGACGCUGUGGCGCGAAAGCUAGGGGAGCAAACGGG